UACGUAGGGUGCAAGCGUUAAUCGGAAUUACUGGGCGUAAAGCGUGCGCAGGCGGUUGGGCAAGACAGAUGUGAAAUCCCCGGGCUCAACCUGGGGAUUGCAUUUGUGACUGCACGGCUAGAGUGUGGCAGAGGGGGGUAGAAUUCCACGUGUAGCAGUGAAAUGCGUAGAGAUGUGGAGGAAUACCGAUGGCGAAGGCAGCCCCCUGGGAUAACACUGACGCUCAUGCACGAAAGCGUGGGGAGCAAACAGG
rnacentral:rRNA from 1 species